rnacentral:rRNA from 1 species
AUACGGAGGAUGCGAGCGUUAUCCGGAUUUAUUGGGUUUAAAGGGAGCGUAGGUGGGAUAUUAAGUCAGCUGUGAAAGUUUGGGGCUCAACCUUAAAAUUGCAGUUGAUACUGGUUUCCUUGAGUACGGUACAGGUGGGCGGAAUUCGUGGUGUAGCGGUGAAAUGCUUAGAUAUCACGAAGAACUCCGAUCGCGAAGGCAGCUCACCGGGCCGGAACUGACACUGAUGCUCGAAAGUGCGGGUAUCAAACAGGAUUAGAUACCCUGGUAGUCCGCACAGUAAACGAUGAAUACUCGCUGUUUGCGAUACACGGUAAGCGGCCAAGCGAAAGCGUUAAGUAUUCCACCUGGGGAGUACGCCGGCAACGGUGAAACUCAAAGGAAUUGACCGGG